rnacentral:hammerhead_ribozyme from 1 species
UUCCAGCUGAUGAGUCCCAAAUAGGACGAAACGCGCGUCCUGGAU